GAACUGCGAUAAGUAAUGUGAAUUGCAGAAUUCAGUGAAUCAUCGAGUCUUUGAACGCACAUUGCGCCCCCUGGCAUUCCGGGGGGCAUGCCUGUCCGAGCGUCAUUGCUGCCCUUCAAGCCCGGCUUGUGUCUUGGGUCGUCGUCCCCUCCGGGGGACGGGCCCGAAAGGCAGCGGCGGCACCGCGUCCGGUCCUCGAGCGUAUGGGGCUUUGUCACCCGCUCGAUAAGGACCGGCCGGGCGCCAGCCGGCGUCUCCAACCUUUUUUUCUCAGGUUGACCUCGGAUCAGGUAGGGAUACCCGCUGAACUUAAGC
rnacentral:misc_RNA from 1 species